rnacentral:rRNA from 1 species
GACGAGGGGUCCAAGCGUUGUUCGGAAUCAUUGGGCGUAAAGCGGGUGUAGGUGGCUCUAUAAGUCAGGAGUGAAAGCCCCGAGCUUAACUUGGGAAGUGCUUUUGAUACUGUAGAGCUUGAAUGUGGGAGAGGAUCGUGGAAUUCCAGGUGUAGUGGUGAAAUGCGUAGAGAUCGGGAAGAACAUCGGUGGCGAAAGCGCUCUACUGGACGGUAUCUGACACUGAGGGACGAAAGCUAGGGGAGCGAAUGGG